rnacentral:rRNA from 1 species
UACAGAGGUCUCAAGCGUUGUUCGGAUUCAUUGGGCGUAAAGGGUGCGUAGGCGGCGCGGUAAGUCGGGUGUGAAAUCUCGGAGCUUAACUCCGAAACUGCAUUCGAUACUGCCGUGCUUGAGGACUGGAGAGGAGACUGGAAUUUACGGUGUAGCGGUGAAAUGCGUAGAUAUCGUAAGGAAGACCAGUGGCGAAGGCGGGUCUCUGGACAGUUCCUGACGCUGGAGGAAGCGAAAGUGUGGGGAGCGAACAGG